GACGAACGCUGGCGGCGUGCUUAACACAUGCAAGUCGAGCGGUAAGGCCCUUUCGGGGGUACGACGAGCGGCGAACGGGUGAGUAACACGUGGGUGACCUGCCCUCAGCUCUGGGAUAAGCCUGGGAAACCGGGUCUAAUACUGGAUAUGACUCCAUGACGCAUGUUUGGUGGGGUGGAAAGCCUUGUGCGGCUGAGGAUGGGCCCGCGGCCUAUCAGCUUGUUGGGUGGGGUGAGGCCUACCAAGGCGACGACGGGUAGCCGGCCUGAGAGGGCGACCGGCCACACUGGGACUGAGACACGGCCCAGACUCCUACGGGAGGCAGCAGGUGGGGAAUCUUGCGCAAUGGGCGAAAGCCUGACGCAGCGACGCCGCGUGAGGGAUGGCGGCCU
rnacentral:rRNA from 1 species